GAUGAACGCUGGCGGCGUGCCUAAUACAUGCAAGUCGAGCGAACAGACGAGGAGCUUGCUCCUCUGACGUUAGCGGCGGACGGGUGAGUAACACGUGGAUAACCUACCUAUAAGACUGGGAUAACUUCGGGAAACCGGAGCUAAUACCGGAUAAUAUAUUGAACCGCAUGGUUCAAUAGUGAAAGACGGUUUUGCGGUCACUUAUAGAUGGAUCCGCGCCGCAUUAGCUAGUUGGUAAGGUAACGGCUUACCAAGGCAACGAUGCGUAGCCGACCUGAGAGGGUGAUAGGCCACACUGGAACUGAGACACGGUCCAGACUCCUACGGGAGGCAGCAGUAGGGAAUCUGCCGCAAUGGGCGAAAGCCUGACGGAGCAACGCCGAGUGAGUGAUGAAGGUCUUCGGAUCGUAAAACUCUGUUAUUAGGGAAGAACAAAUGUGUAAGUAAAUAUGCACGUCUUGACGGUACCUAAUCAGAAAGCCACGGCUAACUACGUG
rnacentral:rRNA from 1 species